AUGAACGCUGGCGGCGUGCCUAAUACAUGCAAGUCGAACGAAACUUCUUUAUCACCGAGUGCUUGCACUCACCGAUAAAGAGUUGAGUGGCGAACGGGUGAGUAACACGUGGGCAACCUGCCCAAAAGAGGGGGAUAACACUUGGAAACAGGUGCUAAUACCGCAUAACCAUAGUUACCGCAUGGUAACUAUGUAAAGGGUGGCUAUACUACCGCUUUUGGAUGGGCCCGCGGCGCAUUAGCUAGUUGGUAGGGUAAAGGCUUACCAAGGCAAUGAUGCGUAGCCGAAUUGAGAGGUUGAUCGGCCACAUUGGGACUGAGACACGGCCCAAACUCCUACGGGAGGCAGCAGUAGGGAAUCUUCCACAAUGGGCGAAAGCCUGAUGGAGCAACGCCGCGUGGGUGAAGAAGGUCUUCGGAUCGUAAAACCCUGUUGUUAGAGAAGAAAGUGCGUGAGAGUAACUGUUCACGUUUCGACGGUAUCUAACCAGAAAGCCACGGCUAACUACGUG
rnacentral:rRNA from 1 species